CAUCGUGAGGUGGAAUCUGAAGGAAGCUGUAGGCAAACCUUUGGUCCGACGGACAGAAAUCACAUAUAAGGCUGGGUUCCGAGAGAUAAGCCUGCAAAAGAGGGCAAAGUCUAAUAACUAUCACAUUUGUAGGAACAAAGUAGAUGUGGCGGAUAUAUGAAGGGAAAGA
rnacentral:ncRNA from 2 species